rnacentral:lncRNA from 1 species
GAGCCUAACGCCACCAGAGUGAUAACAUUGAAUGGUGAUGGCAAUGAUAUUUUACAAUUUUAGGAAACACCAUGACAGUGAAUAGUGAACGGCAACGAACGACGAUGAUAUUUUACGGUUUUAGAAAGUUUGUGUAGGUCGUUGGGGAUGUUUUGGGUGAAUUGGUAGGGAAAAUGAAAAGGAAAAAGUAGAAGAAAAAAAGAACAAAGGGGAGAAAAUAAGGGAAAAUGAAAAGGAAAGAAAAAAAGGUAUAAGAGGACACCACGUAGUGACAUACGAUUGACUAGCAUUACCGCAUCAGCAAAAAGC